rnacentral:lncRNA from 1 species
GAAAAAAUAAAAUCUUGGCAGUGUGCUGAAGUAGAAGUGCGUUGCCCCAGCCAUCAUUAGACUCGGUGACUUUCCAGAUUUCAAUCCACUGUGAAAACAAGAUUGAAUGCCUGAAGGGUGAGGCAAAACUGAAAAUCCAGAGGAAGAGGUUGCAAUCUACAGGAAGCUGCAUGAAGGGAAGACUACGUGUGGGAACAUAAUGAAGAUAAAUAUACUUUUGUUGGCACUCAAGGUGAUUAAUUGCAAGAGGUGAGCUU